rnacentral:lncRNA from 1 species
GUUUGGAAUUUAGAUUGACAUCUGCAAAAAUAUAAGUAGACAGAGUUAUACCUGUAUAUAGAUAAAUUUAAUUAUGUGAAAUUCAAUUGUUAAUAUAAUGUAUACAAGUUGAACGCUGCCUUAUUAUAGUGUUUGCAGAUGUCAAUCUUCAGGAAAAUACUUGAGCAAACAUUGAUACAAACAAAGCAAGGAAGCAAUCCUAACCACACUAUUAACUUGCUAGCAAUAGGAUCACAACUCAACAAAACAGGCUACAUUCUACUUUACCUUUUAUACCUCAUCUUUGCUACCUCAACCAUUAAAAUGUAUAUACCUACCUCAACCUUUAUUAUAUAGAUAUAUUUUUAGUUUCAAUUGUAUAAAUAUACUACACAUGUACAAAUGUUACACCUCUUAAUUUGUCUGGUUUACUUGUAAUUUGUAAAAGUGCAAAGGGGAGAAGAAGAUAGCCAUUAAAUGAUGCAAUGAAAGGGAAAAUGUUAAUUUGUUUUAUCAUAAUAGGGUCAAAUCCCAUUAUUACAUUGGUAAAACGAAUGUAUCGAUUUUCUAAAACUUAUGUACAUUGAAUUACAGUCCCGAUACCAUUUAUUGUCUCACUUGUGAAAAAUGUCACAAAAUAAGCCAUUGUUGUUACUUUUCAUAUUUUUAAAAAAAUAUUUAGAUUUUGAUAUAUAUAUAAAUAUACAUGUAUAUAAACAUUUGUCUUCUACUCUGGAUUGAUUAUUCUUUUUUGGAUACCUGUUUUCAUCGAUUUCAUGGAAACAGGUGAACCACGAUUUUCAAACAUUCAACGAAUGACAAAUUUUCUAUAAGCCUUGUGUGCAGAGAUUGUCUAAACCACGAAAUUAAAUACCAGCAAAAAAGCUAGUUUUCCUGAAUCCCGAAAAAUUGGUACCAACGAAAAAUAACUGAAUCCACGCUAGUUUGUGUCUAGAGAUCUUUUAGUUUUUAUGUCUUUAAUUGUCUCUCAUUGAUAUCGAUCCCACAUCUAUCAUUCUUAUAUUCAUCCAACAAGUGUUUGGUUCAAGCAAAAUAGCUUUAUAUUCUACAUGUUUCUAAGCUUUUACAAAUAAAUUUCAUAGUUCAAGAAAAUGUAUAGUGAUCUACACAUAUUAUGUCCGAGCGGAUAUGUGAUUGGUAGAAUUAUUAUGUAUAAUAUUUUAUGGACACGGGUGGUUUUAGAAUGUUUAUGUUCCAGAACCUAUGGGUAUUUGGACCCUACGCUGGACCGUAUGCAUAUUUUAUCAAAAUACUCAUACAGUCGUACGGUAUGCGUAUGGUCUGACUAAUAUUAAGAAGAUGGUCAAGUUUAUUAGAUACAAAUGCAUAGAACAGAUCAAUAUAACUUAACUCUCAAAUUGAUAUAAAAAAAGUUCAAUUGUAAUUGAAAUAAAAACUUUAUAUUUUAACUAUUUGAAAACAUCACGCUAAUUUAAAAAAUCUGUUAAUCGCUUGUAUUUAGCA